AAUUGGGCCCGACGUCGCAUGCUCCCGGCCGCCAUGGCGGCCGCGGGAAUUCGAUUAGAGUUUGAUCAUGGCUCAGAAUGAACGCUGGCGGCAUGCCUAACACAUGCAAGUCGAACGAGACCUUCGGGUCUAGUGGCGCACGGGUGCGUAGCGCGUGGGAAUCUGCCCUCAGGUUCGGAAUAACCAUUGGAAACGAUGGCUAAUACCGGAUGAUGACGUUAAGUCCAAAGAUUUAUCGCCUGAGGAUGAGCCCGCGUAGGAUUAGCUAGUUGGUGUGGUAAAGGCGCACCAAGGCGACGAUCCUUAGCUGGUCUGAGAGGAUGAUCAGCCACACUGGGACUGAGACACGGCCCAGACUCCUACGGGAGGCAGCAGUGGGGAAUAUUGGACAAUGGGCGCAAGCCUGAUCCAGCAAUGCCGCGUGAGUGAUGAAGGCCUUAGGGUUGUAAAGCUCUUUUACCCGGGAUGAUAAUGACAGUACCGGGAGAAUAAGCUCCGGCUAACUCCGUGCCAGCAGCCGCGGUAAUACGAAUCACUAGUGAAUUCGCGGCCGCCUGCAGGUCGACCAUAUGGGAGAGCUCCC
rnacentral:rRNA from 1 species